rnacentral:rRNA from 1 species
UACGUAGGGUGCAAGCGUUGUCCGGAAUUAUUGGGCGUAAAGAGCUCGUAGGCGGCUUGUCGCGUCGGCUGUGAAAACUCGGGGCUCAACCCCGAGCCUGCAGUCGAUACGGGCAGGCUAGAGUCCGGCAGGGGAGACUGGAAUUCCUGGUGUAGCGGUGAAAUGCGCAGAUAUCAGGAAGAACACCCGUGGCGAAAGCGGCUCUCUGGAACGGUACUGACGCUGAGACGCGAAAGCGUGGGGAGCGAACAGG